rnacentral:tRNA from 11 species
CAGAGCGUGGCUGAUAUAGCAAAGCAUCUCCCUUACACCGAGAAGAUAUCCAUGCAAAUUGGAUCGCCCUGA